rnacentral:rRNA from 1 species
GAACGCUGGCGGCGUGCCUAAUACAUGCAAGUCGAGCGAAUGGAUUAAGAGCUUGCUCUUAUGAAGUUAGCGGCGGACGGGUGAGUAACACGUGGGUAACCUGCCCAUAAGACUGGGAUAACUCCGGGAAACCGGGGCUAAUACCGGAUAACAUUUUGAACCGCAUGGUUCGAAAUUGAAAGGCGGCUUCGGCUGUCACUUAUGGAUGGACCCGCGUCGCAUUAGCUAGUUGGUGAGGUAACGGCUCACCAAGGCGACGAUGCGUAGCCGACCUGAGAGGGUGAUCGGCCACACUGGGACUGAGACACGGCCCUGACUCCUACGGGAGGCAGCAGUAGGGAAUCUUCCGCAAUGGACGAAAGUCUGACGGAACAACGCCGCGUGAGUGAUGAAGGCUUUCGGGUCGUAAAACUCUGUUGUUAGGGAAGAACAAGUGCUAGUUGAAUAAGCUGGCACCUUGACGGUACCUAACCAGAAAGCCACGGCUAACUACGUGCCAGCAGCCGCGGUAAUACGUAGGUGGCAAGCGUUAUCCGGAAUUAUUGGGCGUAAAGCGCGCGCAGGUGGUUUCUUAAGUCUGAUGUGAAAGCCCACGGCUCAACCGUGGAGGGUCAUUGGAAACUGGGAGACUUGAGUGCAGAAGAGGAAAGUGGAAUUCCAUGUGUAGCGGUGAAAUGCGUAGAGAUAUGGAGGAACACCAGUGGCGAA